GGGGGUGCUUUUGCUGGAAGGGCCACACCCGUUCCCAUUCCGAAUACGGCCGUUAAGCCUUCUUGGGCCGAUGGUACUGCAGUCGCAAGGUUGUGGGAGAGUAGGACGGUGCCCCCU
rnacentral:rRNA from 1 species